rnacentral:siRNA from 1 species
CUAAGGCACAUGUCCAUUAACGCC